rnacentral:lncRNA from 1 species
AGCUUUCACUAAGCAAGCUAGCUGAUAUCCGAUUUGAGUAAAAUGAAAUUUAACAUUUGAUCAUAUUUAGAAAAUGUAUUUCUGUUUCUCCCAAAAGAGAAAAGAUUCUCCAUUAUGAUCUAUAGGAGUCCCAGUUUAACAGUAGGCAAUUCGCAUACUGGGACAUUGUCCAAAGUAGUAAUUUCAAUUCACAAUUACAACCCAUUACAAAAUAAUGUUGUAACGAGAUGCUGAAUAUCCUUUCUUAUUUAUUUUUAUAACCCUAACAUUAUUUACCUCAGAACGCUAUGCCAUUUUACUUACCAUUAUGCAUCUGUUCUCAUGGCCCUAUGUUCCCUCAGCCCUAUGUUCCCUCAGUCCUAAGGUCAUGAUUGACCUUAAACUGAGGCUUUGGUGGUGGGUCACCUCCUCCCUGCGCCUGCCGGCUCAGUCGCACACAUUCCGCAUGGUUCAAGAGCACCGUUGAUUUUCAAGGGCUGGUUCUACGCCUGGGGAUCACAGGAUACAAUUUCUUCCUGAAUGUAUUUAUCUUUGCAGCUGUGGAGCUGCUCACUGGUCUCAUCUUCAACUGCUGGUGGACAGGGUGGGAUGGAGACUCCUCAUGGCUGUCUCUAACUUCAUAUGAGUCGCCGCCUGCCUCAUAGUCCCCUUUGUUUCAGUAAGUGAGUAGAUGUAAGUCUUUUUAUUUGUUUAAUUGGAGAUUCCCUUUUCCCGUAUUUUUCUAUUUGAUUUAGAACAGCUCCUAAUGUA